rnacentral:lncRNA from 1 species
GACCACCGCUGCAGAUUUCUGUCGUUAUGUUGGUUUAUACCUGUAUAUCACACAUUUUUGUACUACAGCUUCCACAUUUUUUUUGUAAUUUUUGUCUAUGGAACUUUGUAUGUUUCUUAAGCAUGCUGGCAGAGUUAAUACCUUGUUGGUUUGUUAAGGAUAUGUUUAUUUUCAAACAUCCUUUAUUCUGGCAAGGCUUGUUAUGAUAUGUAAUUUGCUAUAUCCUUUUUGUUGGAAAGGAUUGCCCCCAUC